rnacentral:lncRNA from 1 species
CACACAUUGGAAGACUCAAGCAAGUAAACAGAAGCAUUCACUUUAUUAUUCAUUUUUGGUUUAACAACCAUUACAUUGAGUUUAAACAUUCCAUCGGAAACAUAACCUUUUCCGACAAACAUUCCACUUUUCGACAAGAUGACCUUGUCUGACUCAAACACAAUGCGAAAACCAUGCUUAUUCAAAAGUGACCCGGACACAAGGUUCUUGC